UCCUCUUGUUUUUGGGGUUUCUUCUCGGAACCUAGACUCUAGGGCUGCUUCCUCUUGUUCUUGGGACUUAUUUGGGUUUCUUCUCGGAACCUAGACUCUAGGGCUUCCUUCGUCGUCUUCUCUCGAGCCUCUCGUCUCUCCCCCGUUGCUACGGUUUCUGUUGAUCGAACUUUCUUUUGAUCCAAGGUUUAGAUUUCUUGGGGUAUUUUCUUAAAUCUUUCAGGGUUUUGAACCAGCGUAAUAAUACAAGAGGAAGCAAGAAACAGCACCAAAAAGGUUCGUGCUUUUUACAGAUUUUAAUAUGUCCUUCGCUGUUUUGUCGAAUCGAAGCUAUUAACUAAUGCGAUUCCCUCAUCCGCAGUUUCUUUCUCUAGGAAAGAUUAUACAUACUUAAGUUGUCUUCUUCUCUUGUGCUUGUUUGUUAUUCCGAACCUUUCUCCAC
rnacentral:lncRNA from 1 species